GACGAACGCUGGCGGCGUGCCUAAUACAUGCAAGUCGAACGCAGUGGGGACGGGUGAGUAACACGUGGGUAACCUACCAUCAGAGGGGAUAACACUUGGAAACCGGUGCUAAACCGAUACUGAUGGAUGGACCCGCGGUGCAUUAGCUAGUGGGGGAGGUAACUGCGCACCAAGGCGACGAUGAAUAGCCGCCCGUAGAGGGGGGUCGGCAACACUGUGACUGAGAAACUGCCCAGACUCCUACGGGAGGCAGCAGUAGGGAAUCUUCGGCAAUGGACGAAAGUCUGACCGAGCAACGCCGCGUGAGUGAAGAAGGUUUUCGGAUCGUAAAACCCUGUUGUUAGAGAAGCGGUAUCUAACCAGAAAGCCACGGCUAACUACGUGCCAGCAGCCGCGGUAAUAC
rnacentral:rRNA from 1 species